rfam:Streptomyces sp. Root264 contig_33, whole genome shotgun sequence.
CGUCGGCGAUCUGCGGGCAGAUGAAGUGGACGUGCGCGUCGACCGCGCCGGCCGUCAGGAUCCGUCCGUUGCCGGCGAUCACCUCGGUCUCCGGGCCGAUGACCAGCUCCGGGUGGACGCCGUCCAUCGUGUCGGGAUUGCCGGCCUUGCCGAUGCCGGUGAUCCGCCCGUCCCGGAUGCCGACGUCGGCCUUCACCACACCCCAGUGGUCCACGAUGACCGCGCCCGUGACGACCGUGUCGGGGGUGCCCUCGGCGCGGGUGGCCCGCGACUGCCCCAUGGACUCACGGAUG